rnacentral:lncRNA from 1 species
UAAAGAGGAGCUAUGUAAUUAUUUUCAGUUUUGUGGCAAUUUUCAAUAUCUGAAAUUCUCAAAUUCAUAUUGACUUGACACAACACUAGUCAUAAUAUGUACUUAGAAGUAAAUAAUUUAGUCUCUUGAGAUAUGAACCUACGAAAUGCUUAUUCACGUCAUCGUUCAACGUUUAUUCAUCACUUGUUCACAAAUUUCAUUACGGAUGGUGUUAAAUAAAAUUUUUGUGAGGAUUAUGUGUUUGCGAAUUGCUCGUGAUAGUUUCAAGAAUAACUUCCAUAUUUCAGAAUAAAUUAAAAUGAUUUGUUCCUGUCCAGGAUGCAAGUCUACUUCUGAGCGUCGAAGAAAUGAAACAGCGAAAGAUUGUAAAUCCGAUAGAUUUCUUUUCAUAAGAUACCUUCAGACCCAGAAGUUGGAUCAAAAUGGCUGAGAGAAAUACCUAGAAAAAAUUAAGAACCCAAUGAAUAUUCACGAAUUUGUAGUAAGCAUUUUGAUCCCAGUUGCUUUCUUUCCUAGAGCAAGGAUUCAAAUACAUCAAGACAAAAGAAUGCCCAACCACUUUUUAAAAAAAAAUGAAAUCCGAUACAGUCCCAACUAUAUAUCCAAAUUUAACAGCAUAUUUAUCCUCCAAAUCUCAAGUUAAGAGAUCAACAUCGUGUGCAUCAACUUAAGAUAAUCACUGAAGUAUAGAAAUGAAGAAACUCUUUUAAACAAAAAUUUUUUUUUUGAAAAUGACAAAGUUAACUCCUUGAAUGAACUUCUCACAAAAUAGACAAUAGAAAAAUAAUCCCUACAAUUGUUUUGUUCUAUAAAGAAGAAAGUUUUAUAAUAUAUUAUGCAAUUAAAGUAGAAAACGACUUUCCUUUUAUAGAAUUCAGUCUAUCUAUAAAAAAGAUUUGAAGUUUUGCGAUUAAGUAUGAGCAACUAAAAAUUCCAAACCAAAAAAUUAUUCAUAUUUGCUCUGAUUGAAAAAUUAGAAAUUCUUCCCAAGUUGGUAAUAUUUUAGCGAAUUGAAACACAACUUAAACCAACAAAACUCCGUCAUUAUUCAAGAAUCUCUUUUAAAUUUAUUAGAAGAGAAUUUAAAUAAAUAUAUCUCGAAUAUUCAUAUAGAAUUUAUAAGAGAGUAAAUAGUGCUUAGUUCGAAGCAAAAAUAUGCAAGGCGAUACUCUACUCAAGUGUUGGGCACUGCUGCGUUGUGGAAAACAAGUUCAGUUUUAUAUGAGGAAAUAGUUUAUUCUGGAUUAAUGAUUUUGCCCACUACUAAACAUUUGAAAAGAGUAUAUACUUUUAAUUUGGUUCAAAUAUCGACAAUUCAACUUAUUACUUUAACUAUAGAAAAUCGAAAUUAGAACCUAAGGAUAAAUUUGUAUCAAUUAUUAUCGACAAAGAUUAUUCCUCCCAGCGUCUGGAGUAUUCAAAUCGGAAAUUGUAUGGUUGUAGAAAUAAUGGAACUCCAACAAAAACAAUAUUAUGUUUCCUUAUCAAAAGUGUUUUGGGAAAAUAUAGCGAUAUAGUUGCAAUGAUACCCAUUGUUACUAUAAAUUAAUCCGUUAUAAAAGACCAUUUCUAUGAAGUAUUACUAAAGUUGGAUUUAAUGUUGUAGCUUUUAUACUAGAUGGGCAUUCAGUAAAUCGAAAAUUUUACUUUGAUAAACGGCAGAUUAACGACAAUCAUCCGUAUACUUUGAA